CGCGCCCCGCGUCCCCCUUGGCGGUGCUGCCGCUGCGCGUCUCGAAAGCGGAACUGCGAGCGGAGCGGCAGCCGCGCGCCCGGUUUCGCUGCUACCCUGGAGUGUCGCCCGCCGCAGGAAGCUCCUAGAAGCAACGAGCUUGUCAAGGAGGUGCGUGUUAUUGYGGAUCCUGGUCUUCCUGGGUGUUUUGCUCAUGCUCUCCUUGGAACUUCUCCUUUACCUGAUGAAGCUUCAAAAACAGCCCCUGGGGGGAUGUAUCAAUCCAUAGCAUCUUGAAGUUGUGGCUCCUUUUGUGAUACCUACUGCUGCUGACCAGCAACUGCACACCCAUUGUUGUAGCAGGGGAUUUCUUGGUCACCUGUCUGCUGACAACCUGAGAAGAUGGAAGAGCCUGUUCAGACAGGAGAAGUGACACAGGAGAAAUAAUAGAGGGAAUGCUGGUGCUUUAUCUGUGAGCUGGUUGAAACCAAAGCGGUUGUCCCAUGGCUUUCUUUGAGAUGCACUUCACCCUGGUGUCACGCUUCUGGGAAGAUCAACUGUACAGAGCUGCAGAAGGUGCAGCCCCUAAACAGCGCUGACUGCAGAAGCCUGUCUGAACUGCAGAGGCAUCGUGGCCUCCUGUUUGUUUGCAACGUGUGCGUUUUAUUCCCCCUUCUUGCAGGCUCUGAAACAGGCUUCAUAAUCAAGGGCCACGGGGUCCAUGCUCUGGGCUUGGUCUUUUAGGCCUCUGUGUGGACGAUGCCUCCUAGUUGCACGUGCCGUGAUCCUCUCCCUCUGCUGCUUCCCUGAGGGACUGGAAAUCCUUCUGGCAAAUCCUGUAGUCUCCUAAUUUUUUAGUCUCUUAUUUUUUUCCCAAUGUCCUUGCUGUUAUUGGACACCAUUAUAGCAGCCUCCUGCCAUAUGUGCAGGGAGCAGCGUGGCACAAAGAGGUACCACUUCCUCAGCCCAAACUGCCACCACCUCACCUACAUCAGACAGUUUUCUCUUUGUGCUAAAGAUUGGACCUUUGAGUCCCCUGCCCACCAGCAACUUCCCCAUUCCUUGCACUGUAUUAAGUACUUUUUUGAUGGUUCUUCUGAUGAGGGGAGGGAGCUGCUGCAGGAGCUGCUGGGGAGGCCCUGGCAACAGGAUGUGAAAAAUCCACCUUUGAUUACGUCUGGCAGAAGAAACCGAAGUUGGAGGAUCAGUGUGAUGAGCUGCUUGUCARGGUUUGUUACGUAGCAGCGCUCUGGCUGUCAGAGUUUUUUAUGGAGAAUCCUCCUUGAUGGAGUGCGUAUGGAUUCUGUGAAUAUUAGUGCCCCAAAGCRUCCAUUUCUGAUGCAUUAAAGCAAGCUCACAGUAUGGGAUCAUGCAUAGAGUGAAGAUGAAGUCCAUGAAUCCCUCGUUGUGAUGUUGUUCUCUUAUAUGCAAGUGCUCAGAGCAGAUGUGAAAGUUUCUCAUACCCUUUUGUUUGCUGAGAGGGCCGUGCUACUGAGAGCAGGCUGCAGUGGAGGAGAYGGUCAGUCUCCUUGGAGAAGAUGUUUUGCUCUGUACCAGACCUUUCAGGAGACAGUGGCAAGUGACAGGUUUCCUGUUAAGCCYGGGGAGGUCAGCAAGGCUGGACRUUUUGAAGCUAAAAUGUUUCUUGCUGCUGGAUUUGAAGAAGGUGCUGCCAGUCCAAAGGGAGCAGAACACCCAAGCUGGUGUCUUUACAAAUAAUGGAUUUACCCUACCUGGUUUGGCUGAUGAGUGGGACAAAUAUAGGCAUGGGGGGAUGGAGCAGAACUAUGAGUGAGUGGGACAAAGGAGCCUAUGCUGAGAGUUGGGUGCAUUAACAGAGGGAAUUGCCACCCAUUCUUUGGCCAGGGGGUCUGAGUCGCUUGACUGGAGCAUCUCCCCCUUGGCAGGGGAAAAGAA